rnacentral:rRNA from 1 species
UCCAGACUCCUACGGGAGGCAGCAGUAGGGAAUUUUCGGCAAUGGGGGGAACCCUGACCGAGCAACGCCGCGUGAACGAAGAAGUUAUUCGUAAUGUAAAGUUCUUUUAUCAGGGAAGAAAGAGGAAUUUGACGGUACCUGAGGAAUAAGCUCCGGCUAACUACGUGCCAGCAGCCGCGGUAAUACGUAGGUGGCAAGCGUUGUCCGGAUUUACUGGGUGUAAAGGGCGUGCAGCCGGGCCGACAAGUCAGAUGUGAAAUCCGCGGGCGUAACCCGCGAACUGCAUUUGAAACUAUUGGUCUUGAGUACCGGAGAGGUCAUCGGAAUUCCUUGUGUAGCGGUGAAAUGCGUAGAUAUAAGGAAGAACACCAGUGGCGAAGGCGGAUGACUGGACGGCAACUGACGGUGAGGCGCGAAAGCGUGGGGAGCAAACAGGAUUAGAUACCCCCGUAAA